rnacentral:rRNA from 1 species
UACAGAGGUCCCAAGCGUUGUUCGGAUUCAUUGGGCGUAAAGGGUGUGUAGGUGGCGCCGUAAGUCGGGUGUGAAAUUUCGGAGCUUAACUCCGAACCUGCAUUCGAUACUGCGGUGCUUGAGGACUGGAGAGGAGACUGGAAUUCAUGGUGUAGCAGUGAAAUGCGUAGAGAUCAUGAGGAAGACCAGUGGCGAAGGCGGGUCUCUGGACAGUUCCUGACGCUGAGACACGAAGGCCAGGGGAGCGAACGGG